GUUUCUGUAGCGCGAUCGGUUAGCGCCUUCGGCUGUUAAACGAAAGGUUGGUGGUUCGUUCCCACCCCGGGACA
rfam:Homo sapiens chromosome 1, GRCh38 reference primary assembly.